rnacentral:rRNA from 1 species
GUAACGGCGAGUGAAGCGGCAACAGCUCAAUUUGAAAUCUGGCCCCCCGCGGGCCCGAGUUGUACUUUGGAGAGGACGCUUCUGGCGCGGCGCCGUCCGAGUUCCCUGGAACGGGACGCCGGAGAGGGUGAGAGCCCCGUACGGGCGGCCGCCUAGCCUCUGCGAAGCUCCUUCGACGAGUCGAGUAGUUUGGGAAUGCUGCUCAAAAUGGGAGGUAAAUUUCUUCUAAAGCUAAAUACCGGCCAGAGACCGAUAGCGCACAAGUAGAGUGAUCGAAAGAUGAAAAGCACUUUGAAAAGAGGGUCAAACAGUACGUGAAAUUGUUGAAAGGGAAGCGCCUGUGGCCAGACUUGCGCCCCGCGGACCACCCGGCGCCUCGCGCGCCGGGGCACGCCAGCGGGGCGCAGGCCAGCAUCGGCUCUCUCGGGGGGACAAAGGCCGCGGGAACGUAGCGCCCUCGCGGCGUAUUAUAGCCCGCGGCGCCAUGCCCCCGGGGGGGCCGAGGACCGCGCUCCGGCAAGGAUGCUGGCGUAAUGGCCACCGGCGACCCGUCUUGAAACACGGACCAAGGAGUCAAGCAUUGGGGCGAGUGUCUGGGUGGCAAGCCCGCACGCGGAAUGAAAGUGAACGCAGGUGGGAGCUUCGGCGCACCACCGACCGAUCCUGAUGUCCUCGGAUGGAUUUGAGUAGGAGCCCCGCCGCUUGGACCCGAAAGAUGGUGAACUAUGCCUGUAUAGGGUGAAGCCAGAGGAAACUCUGGUGGAGGCCCGCAGCGGUUCUGACGUGCAAAUCGAUCGUCAAAUAUGGGC